UGGGGAAUUUUGCACAAUGGAGGAAACUCUGAUGCAGCGACGCCGCGUGAGUGAUGAAGAUCUUCGGAUUGUAAAACUCUGUCCUUAGUGAAGAUAAUGACAGUAACUAAGAAGCAAGCCCUGGCUAAAUACGUGCCAGCAGCCGCGGUAAUACGUAUGGGGCAAGCGUUGUCCGGAAUUAUUGGGCGUAAAGGGUACGUAGGCGGUUUAAUAAGUCCUAAUUAAAAGGCUAUGGCUCAACCAUAGUAUGGUUAGGAAACUGUUGAUCUUGAGUAGAUGAGGGGAAAGUGGAAUUCCAUGUGUAGCGGUGAAAUGCGUAGAUAUAUGGAGGAACACCAAUGGCGAAGGCAACUUUCUGGAAUCAAACUGACGCUGAGGUACGAAGGCGUGGGGAGCAAACAGG
rnacentral:rRNA from 1 species